UGCAUCUCUGAUGAUAAUUUGGCUCCCUCUACUGAAGCCUCUGAGGAAAACUGCCACUCGAACCCAUUUUAUUCUGAGGUGCU